UACGAAGGGGGCUAGCGUUGCUCGGAAUCACUGGGCGUAAAGCGCACGUAGGCGGAUCGAUCAGUCAGGGGUGAAAUCCCAGAGCUCAACUCUGGAACUGCCUUUGAUACUGAGGAUCUUGAGUCCGGGAAAGGUGAGUGGAACUGCGAGUGUAGAGGUGAAAUUCGUAGAUAUUCGCAAGAACACCAGUGGCGAAGGCGGCUCACUGGCCCGGUACUGACGCUGAGGCACGAAAGCGUGGGGAGCAAACAGG
rnacentral:rRNA from 1 species